rnacentral:rRNA from 1 species
UACCCGCAGCCCAAGUGGUGGUCGCGAUUAUUGGGCCUAAAGCGCUCGUAGCCGGGUUGGCAAGUCCCUUGUGAAAUCGGACGGCUUAACCGUUCGGCUUGCAAAGGAUACUGCCAGUCUUGAGGCCGGGAGACGUCGAGGGUACUCUGGGGGUAGCGGUGAAAUGCUCUAAUCCUCGGGGGACCACCAGUGGCGAAGGCGUUCGACGAGAACGGACCUGACGGUGAGGGGCGAAGGCUAGGGGAGCGAACGGG